rnacentral:rRNA from 1 species
CUCUGCAGCCACACCACUCUGAGCAUACCUGACCUCAGCAGCUAAGCAGAGCAGGGCUGGGUUAGAACUCUGAGACAGCAAUAAACUCGUGAUUAUAAUUGUAAGCAAGCAAACAUGAGUAUUUACAGGAA